rnacentral:rRNA from 1 species
GCCUUAAGCAUGCAAGUCGAGCGAGAAAUUUUACUUCGGUAAAAUGGACAGCGGCGAACGGGUGAGUACAACGCAGGAACAUACCCACAAGUGGGGGAUAGCCCAUCGAAAGGUGGAUUAAUACCGCAUGUGUCCCAAUUUAUUGGGGUAAAGGAUAUAACUAUUCGCUUAUGGAGUGGCCUGUGUGCUAUCAGCUUGUUGGUAAGGUAAAAGCUUACCAAGGCUACGACGGCUAGGGGGUGUGAGAGCAUGACCCCCCACAAGGAGACUGAGACACGGCUCCUACACCUACGGGUGGCAGCAACUGGGAAUCUUGCGCAAUGGGCGAAAGCCUGACGCAGCGACACCGCGUGAAGGAUGAAGGCCUUCGGGUUGUAAACUUCUUUUAUAUGGGAAUAAAGAAAAGGUGAGGGACUGAAGGUACCAUACGAAUAAGCACCUGCUAACUACGUGCCAGAAGCCUCGGUAAUACGUAGGGUGCAAGCGUUAUCCGGAAUUACUGGGCGUAAAGCGUCGCGUAGGCGGUUAUAUAAGUGCAUGGUGAAAGCCUUGGGCUCAACUCAAGAAUUGCUGUGCAGACUGUAUAACUAGAGGACGUUAGAGGAUGCUGGAAUUCUCGGUGGAGGGGUGAAAUCCGUUGAUAUUCGAGAAGAACACCAAGGGCGAAGGCAGGCAUCUGGGACGUUACUGACGCUGAGGCACGAAAGCUAGGGGAGC